CAGCAGCCACGGUAAUACGUAGGUGGCAAGCGUUGUCCGGAAUUAUUGGGCGUAAAGCGCGCGCAGGCGGAUAGGUCAGUCUGUCUUAAAAGUUCGGGGCUUAACCCCGUGAUGGGAUGGAAACUGCCAAUCUAGAGUAUCGGAGAGGAAAGUGGAAUUCCUAGUGUAGCGGUGAAAUGCGUAGAUAUUAGGAAGAACGCCAGUGGCGAAGGCGACUUUCUGGACGAAAACUGACGCUGAGGCGCGAAAGCCAGGGGAGCGAACGGGAUUAGAUACCCCUGUAGUCCCUGUCUCUUAUACA
rnacentral:rRNA from 1 species